rnacentral:rRNA from 1 species
UACGGAGGGUGCAAGCGUUAUCCGGAUUCACUGGGUUUAAAGGGUGCGUAGGCGGUCAGGUAAGUCCGUGGUGAAAUCUCUGAGCUUAACUCAGAAACUGCCAUGGAUACUAUUUGUCUUGAAUAUUGUGGAGGCAAGCGGAAUAUGUCAUGUAGCGGUGAAAUGCUUAGAUAUGACAUAGAACACCCAUUGCGAAGGCAGCUUGCUACACAAUGAUUGACGCUGAGGCACGAAAGCGUGGGGAUCAAACAGG